rnacentral:tRNA from 1 species
UCCAUAGUAGCUCAGUUGUAGAGCUAUCGACUAUUGUCCGGUAGGUCGUAGAUUUGAGUCCUACCUGUGGGA